GACGAACGCUGGCGGCGUGCUUAACACAUGCAAGUCGAACGGAAAGGCCCUGCUUUUGUGGGGUGCUCGAGUGGCGAACGGGUGAGUAACACGUGAGUAACCUGCCCUUGACUUUGGGAUAACUUCAGGAAACUGGGGCUAAUACCGGAUAGGAGCACCUGCUGCAUGGUGGGGGUUGGAAAGUUUCGGCGGUUGGGGAUGGACUCGCGGCUUAUCAGCUUGUUGGUGGGGUAGUGGCUUACCAAGGCUUUGACGGGUAGCCGGCCUGAGAGGGUGACCGGCCACAUUGGGACUGAGAUACGGCCCAGCCUCCUCCGGGAGGCAGCAGUGGGGAAUAUUGAACAAUGGGCGGAAGCCUGAUGCAGCAACGCGGCGUGCGGGAUGACGGCCUUCGGGUUGUAAACCGCUUUAGCAUGUGACGAAGCGUGAGUGACGGUAAUGGGUAAAGAAGCACCGGCUAACUACGUG
rnacentral:rRNA from 1 species